rnacentral:misc_RNA from 1 species
ACCCCUCAACCCCCGAUUGCUUAAUCGCUUUUGCGCGGGAUUGGACCGUGGCCGCACUUGGCCGGCGCAAUCGAGCGUCUGGCCCGGCCGAAACGUAUGCGAAGCGCUUUAACCUGUGCGCCGCGACGACCCUGCGUUGUAGACACCUCGUAGAGUCCGAGUCGGUAGACAGGAGCUUCAGCUCUAUAUCAUUA